rnacentral:sRNA from 12 species
CCUCUGGAGCAUUACAUCAAACGCAAGUAGCUUCGUGCUUGCGCGGGCAAAAGCGGAUGCGAUGAAUGAGGAA